rnacentral:rRNA from 1 species
UAACACAUGCAAGUCGAACGGAAACGAAACUAGCUUGCUAGUAGGCGUCGAGUGGCGGACGGGUGAGUAACGCGUAGGAAUCUGCCUGAUAGUGGGGGAUAGCCCGAAGAAAUUCGGAUUAAUACCGCAUAAUCUAUUCGUAGUAAAGUGGGGGAGUUGCGAGCCUCACGCUAUCAGAUGGGCCUGCGUAAGAUUAGCUUGUUGGUAGGGUAAAAGCCUACCAAGGCUACGAUCUUUAGCUGGUCUGAGAGGAUGAUCAGCCACAUCGGGACUGAGACACGGCCCGGACUCCUACGGGAGGCAGCAGUGGGGAAUAUUGGACAAUGGGGGCAACCCUGAUCCAGCAAUACCGCGUGUGUGAAGAAGGCCUGAGGGUUGUAAAGCACUUUCAAUUGUGAAGAAAAGUUAACGGUUAAUAACCGUUGACCUUGACGUUAACUUUAGAAGGAGCACCGGCUAACUCCGUGCCAGCAGCCGCGGUAAUACGGAGGGUGCAAGCGUUAAUCGGAAUUACUGGGCGUAAAGCGUGCGUAGGCGGUUUACUAAGUCAGAUGUGAAAGCCCCGGGCUUAACCUGGGAACUGCAUUUGAAACUGGUCAACUAGAGUAUGGUAGAGGAAAGUGGAAUUUCUGGUGUAGCGGUGAAAUGCGUAGAUAUCAGAAGGAACAUCAAUGGCGAAGGCAGCUUUCUGGACCAAUACUGACGCUGAGGUACGAAAGCGUGGGUAGCAAACAGGAUUAGAUACCCUGGUAGUCCACGCCGUAAACGAUGAUAACUAGCCGUUGGGGGGAUUUGCCCCUUAGUGGCGAAGCUAACGCGUUAAGUUAUCCGCCUGGGGAGUACGGCCGCAAGGCUAAAACUCAAAGGAAUUGACGGGGACCCGCACAAGCGGUGGAGCAUGUGGUUUAAUUCGAUGCAACGCGAAGAACCUUACCUGGUCUUGACAUCCUGCGAACUUUCUAGAAAUAGAUUGGUGCCUUCGGGAACGCAGUGACAGGUGCUGCAUGGCUGUCGUCAGCUCGUGUCGUGAGAUGUUGGGUUAAGUCCCGUAACGAGCGCAACCCCUAUCCUUAUUUGCCAGCACAUUAUGGUGGGAACUAUAAGGAGACUGCCGGUGAUAAACCGGAGGAAGGCGGGGACGACGUCAAGUCAUCAUGGCCCUUACGACCAGGGCUACACACGUGCUACAAUGGGAAGGACAAAGAGCCGCGAAGCCGCGAGGUGUAGCUAAUCUCAUAAAUCUUUUCGUAGUCCGGAUUGGAGUCUGCAACUCGACUCCAUGAAGUCGGAAUCGCUAGUAAUCGUAGAUCAGAAUGCUACGGUGAAUACGUUCCCGGGUCUUGUACACACCGCCCGUCAUACCAUGGGAGUGGGUUGCACCAGAAGUGGCUAGUCUAACUUUGUGAGGACGGUCACCACGGUGUGAUUCAUGACUGGGGUA